rnacentral:rRNA from 1 species
AGUGAACGCUGGCGGUAGGCCUAACACAUGCAAGUCGAACGGCAGCACAGUAAGAGCUUGCUCUUACGGGUGGCGAGUGGCGGACGGGUGAGGAAUACAUCGGAAUCUACUUUUUCGUGGGGGAUAACGUAGGGAAACUUACGCUAAUACCGCAUACGACCUACGGGUGAAAGCAGGGGAUCUUCGGACCUUGCGCGAUUGAAUGAGCCGAUGUCGGAUUAGCUAGUUGGCGGGGUAAAGGCCCACCAAGGCGACGAUCCGUAGCUGGUCUGAGAGGAUGAUCAGCCACACUGGAACUGAGACACGGUCCAGACUCCUACGGGAGGGAGCAGGGGGGAAUAUUGGACAAUGGGCGCAAGCCUGAUCCAGCCAUACCGCGUGGGUGAAGAAGGCCUUCGGGUUGUAAAGCCCUUUUGUUGGGAAAGAAAAGCAGCAGGUUAAUACCCCGCUGUUCUGACGGUACCCAAAGAAUAAGCACCGGCUAACUUCGUG